rnacentral:rRNA from 1 species
CAGCCGCCGCGGUAAUACGUAGGUGGCAAGCGUUGUCCGGAAUUAUUGGGCGUAAAGGGCUCGCAGGCGGUUUCUUAAGUCUGAUGUGAAAGCCCCCGGCUCAACCGGGGAGGGUCAUUGGAAACUGGGAAACUUGAGUGCAGAAGAGGAGAGUGGAAUUCCACGUGUAGCGGUGAAAUGCGUAGAGAUGUGGAGGAACACCAGUGGCGAAGGCGACUCUCUGGUCCGUAACUGACGCUGAGGAGCGAAAGCGUGGGGAGCGAACAGGAUUAGAUACCCCUGUAGUCCCUGUCUCUUAUAA